GACGGAGGGUGCAAGCGUUACUCGGACUCACUGGGCGUAAAGAGCACGUAGGCGGCUUUGUAAGUCUGAUGUGAAAGCCCACGACUCAAUCGUGGAAGUGCAUUGGAUACUGCAUAGCUAGAGUGCAGGAGGGGUAAGCGGAAUUCCAGGUGUAGAGGUGAAAUUCGUAGAUAUCUGGAGGAACAACGGUGGCGAAGGCGGCUUACUGGACUGUUACUGACGCUGAGGUGAGAAAGUGUGGGGAGCGAACAGG
rnacentral:rRNA from 1 species